GUAGGUGGCAAGCGUUGUCCGGAAUUAUUGGGCGUAAAGCGCGCGCAGGCGGUUCUUUAAGUCUGAUGUGAAAGCCCACGGCUCAACCGUGGAGGGUCAUUGGAAACUGGAGAACUUGAGUACAGAAGAGGAAAGCGGAAUUCCACGUGUAGCGGUGGAAUGCGUAGAGAUGUGGAGGAACACCAGUGGCGAAGGCGGCUUUCUGGUCUGUAACUGACGCUGAGGCGCGAAAGCGUGGGGAGCAAACAGGGAUUAGAUACCCUGGUAGUCCACGCCGUAAACGAUGAGUGCUAAGUGUUAGGGGGUUUCCGCCCCCUUAGUGCUGCAGCUAACGCAUUAAGCACUCCGCCUGGGGAUACGGCCGCAAGGCUG
rnacentral:rRNA from 1 species